rnacentral:antisense_RNA from 1 species
CAAAAACAAAAAGAACCUUUGUUCUGUAAGACAGUAUAGAAAGUUGGGAGAAAGGUCUACUCCAGGAUCAAGACCUCCUGAAAGAGUCUUGAGGACCCCAGUGGUUCCUGAACCACACUUUGAAAACUAUGGAUCUGAUAAUAAAUUAGGAUUGCAUUUCCUGUAGAACUGGACCAAUAGGACCCAAGGGAGAGUAUCAAAGGCAAAAUAAAGGAAAAUGAGGACAACCCAAUACUCAGAAAAAAAAACGAGUAAUUCAUGGACUCACAACGGGCAACAAACUAGAUGACUAUCAGGAAGAGAAGAGCAAAUCUUAUGAUCUCAAAAUGAUUUCUUGUUCAUUUGCAUCCUCCCAUCAAUCUAGACUUUAAGACAUAUGUGAUUUUUAAAUAAAUGGGUACAUCUCCAUA